rnacentral:rRNA from 1 species
AUCUGCUGGAACUGUCUAGAUCUGGGGUCGGACUCAACAGUUGGCGAGCUUCGCUGGCUUGUGAAGCUUUACCGACCCUCCCUCAUCUUUCUUUCGGAGACAAAGAUGAGGGAUUCGAGAGUCAAAAACUUUAUGUGGUCUCUGGGUUAUUUUGGUUGUUUUGCUGUUAGCAGCGAGGGUCUCAGUGGGGGCCUGGCUCUUUUCUGGUCACAUUCGGCAGCGGUGACAGUCAGGCUGCAAAUAAGCGAUGCAUUGAUGUUGUGGUCCAACUGA